AUUAUUUCAAUCAUAGUCCAUACAUUGUAUUUUUAUAUGACCGUGCAUAGACCUGUUAACUAUAAUAUGUUAGUAUAUUAAGUUAGUUUACUUUAGUUAAUAAAUAGUAGCAAAUUGGUCUAUGAUCUCAAUGUUCUAAUGCUCAAUCACAACUGACAACUGUGCACAGCGAAUACUCUCGGUGACUAACGUCUACCGUAACUAGAUGAAUACCAUACACUGUUCAUCGUAUUGCGAAGGUGAUCAAAUGUGUAUUCCAAAAUCUAAUGAAUGCAAAUCUACAAAUUAUACAAAUAUCACUCAAACUGUUAAAGCAUUUGAACUCAUGCAAUAUUUACGCGAAUAUGAAGUCUUAACGUGAUAUAAGACUGAAAACUAAUGAUGAUAAUCGUAUUUCGACACAAAGUUGUAUUAAUGUCAGCUAUUCAAUAUUUUCGGGCUACGUUUGCUAAUUUUAGUGAAAACAAAAAAGAUAUUGUUGAUAUACGAAAAAUAGAUUUCACUGUUUUAAACAAUAUAUUGGUAGAUUAUAAUUACAGUGGGAAGAUCAUGAUCAGGAAAGAAAAUGUACAGUUUCUCAAGGUUGCAAAAUGUAAUGUCUUACAGUUAGGCUAUGUAAAAGGCGCAUGUGCUAAGAUUUUACAGAAACAACUAAAUCCAACCCAUUGUCUUUACACUAGAUCAUCUGCUGAUUUAUCUACAUAACUGUUCAGAAUUGUUAUAAAGUUCUGAAGC